CUUAUUCUUUGGUUUCAAUUUAGCUUUCAAUGUUGAUUUUGGUAUGAUUUUUGUGAAUGUUCUCAGAUUCUUAGACAAUUUGAGUAAAAAACCUUAGUGAAUCUUAUUCUCUGGUUUCAAUUUGGCUUUCAAUGUUGAUUUUGGCACGAUUCCUGUGAAUGUUCUCAAAUUCUUAGACAAUUUGAGUAAAAAACCUUAGUGAAUCUUAUUCUCUGGUUUAAAUUUAGCUUUCAAUGUUGAUUUUGGUAUGAUUCCUGUGAAUGUUCUCAGAUUCUUAGACGAUUUGAGUAAAAAACCUUAGUGAAUCAUGUUCUCUUGGUUUGAAUUUGGGUUUUAAUGUUGAUUUUCGUACGAUUGUUGUUAAUGUUCUUAGAUUCUUAGUCAAUUUGAGUGAAAACCCGGACUUAAUCCUUAUUUUUCAAUUUAAGUUUCAAUAUUGAGUUUGACAUGAUUGUUGUGAAUUUUCUCAAGUUUUCAAUCAAUUUGACUGAAAAUCCUAGUUAAUCAUGUUCUCUUGCUUCCAAUCUAAGUUUCAAUAUUGAUUUUGCUGCUAUUGCUGUGAAUGUUCUCAUAUUCUGAAUCAAUUUGAGUGAAAAACCCUACUUAAUCAUAUCUCAUUCCUUUAAAUUUAAGUUUCGAUGUUGAGUGUGGUACCAUUGCUGUCAAUGUUCUCAUAUUUUCAAUCAAUUUCAGUGAAAAACCUUAGUUAAUCAUAUUCUAUUGGUUUCAAUUUAGCUUUCAUUGUUGAUUUUGGUGUGAUUGCUGUGAAUGUUCUCAGAUUCUUAGACAAAUUGAGUAAAAAAACCUUAGUGAAUCAUAUUCUGUUGGUUUCAAUUUAGGUUUCAAUUUGAAUCAAUUUGAAUAAAAAACCAUAGUUAAUCAUAUCCUAUUGCUUUCAAUUUAGGUUUCAAUGUUGAGUAUGGUACCAUUACUGUCAAUGUUCUCAUAUUUUCAAUCAAUUUGAGUGAAAAACCUUAGUUAAUCAUAUUCUUUUGGUUUCAAUUUAGCUUUCAUUGUUGAUUUUGGCACGAUUCCUGUGAAUGUUCUCAAAUUCUUAGACAAUUUGAAUAAAAAACCUUAGUGAAUCAUAUUCUCUAGUUUCAAUUUAGCUUUCAAUGUUGAUUUCCGUACAAUUCUUGUGAAUGUUCUCAAAUUCUUAGAAAAUUUGAGUAAAAAACCUUAGUGAACCAUAUCCUCUUGGUUUCAAUUUGAGUUUCAAUGUUGAUUUUCAUACGAUUAUUGUUAAUAUUCUCAGAUUCUUAGUCAAUUUAAGUGAAAACCCGGACUUAAUCAUAUUCUCUUGAUUUCAAUUUACGUUUCAACAUUGACUUUGACAUGAUUAUUGUGAAUUUUCUCAAGUUUUCAAUCAAUUAGACUGAAAACCCUAGUUAAUCAUGUUCUCUUGCUUCCAAUUUAAGUUUCAAUGUUGAUUUUUGCUGCGAUUGCUAUGAAUGUUCUCAUAUUCUGAAUCAAUUUGAGUGAAAAACCCUAGUUAAUAAUCUUCUCUUCCUUUCAAUUUAACUUUCAAUGUUGAUUUUAUUUUUAUAGCCAUGAAUGUCAUCAAAUUUAGACUUCAUGAGAAUGACAUUGGAUUGAUUCUUUUAGGGCACAUUCUUAGUAUUUCUAUCUUGUCUAUGUUGAUUUUCCGUACAGGAAAGCAACUCAUGAAAACCCCAAGACUAAAAAGUAAUGCAAAGAAAAUGAUAAGAAAGCAUAAAAAAUCAACUUCAACGGAUAAAAAAUAAAAGGGAAAGCGUAGAGAAUGGAGAUAAACUUUCAGAUCAAACAUUGGGACAAUAAUGAAGCUACUACAUCACAUCAAACUAAGGAAUGAGCAUAUUAAUGGCUUGAAGAAAACCCCAUUUUGGGCAUUGUUUGAUGCAAUAUUGCAAAACAAGCUGAAUUACAAACAAUGCAGAAAAUAUGAUGAUGUUGCAUUGAAAAUAAUUCAAACAUACCAGCCAGGCAGCAGUGGUUCUUUCCAGUUAGGACCAGAAACUGUAAAGCUAACAACAGAAGACAUCAAGUCCAUCUUCGGUAUAUCUUGUGGAGAUGAGCCGAUACAUCUUGGUUAUGGAAAUAAAAGCAGAUCAUCAUUUUUGACAAGAAGAUCCAUACAAACUGAAAGGCUAUCGAGCACAACCAUCAUAGACUUGUUGCAAAAAGCAUUGAAAGGCAAGAAGAAAGAAGACACUGAAGAUGUGAUAAGAAUGUUGUGUAUGUUUACUUGUUUGAAGCUUUUUUUCUCUAUAUCAGGAACAACAGUUGGAUGGGUAUUUCUUAAUUACAUGAAAGACGUAAACUCGAUGAGAAAAUACAAUUGGGCAGAAACAAUAAGGAACAUACUGAUGUCUUCAAUUGAAAAAUACCACAAAAAUCCAGCAAAAGUCACAGGAUGUGUUAUGGCUCUCUUAUAUUGGUUGUGUGAGCACACACUGAUCAUCCACCCUGAUCAUCCACCCUGAACUUAGCGAAGCAUGCCCAAGGAUGAUCAAGUGGAAUCUUAUCAAAUUACAUAAACGUAUGAAAGUCAUAUCACUACAUCAGUUGACAACAAGACAUGUCACAUCCUCAUCUCAUUUGAAUUUCAAGUUAGGAAAAAUCCCUAUUUUUAUACACUGAAUUAUUAUUGAGAAACUUUUUAGUUUCCUAAACUUCAAUUAUUUCAAAAACUAAUAUCUAUCGUAUGUUGACCUACAGGUAACUACUGCUCAAUUCAGUGAGGAAAGUGAUGAAGAACUUGAUGACACUGAAGAAGAACAAAAAGAAGAUGCUGAAAAUACUAAAGAAGAAGAACAAGAAGAUGCUGAAAAAGAAGAUGCUGAAAAAGAAGAACAAAAAGUACAAGAACAAACUUUCAGAUCAAACAUGGUGACAAUAGUGAAGCUAUUACAGCACAUCAAACUCAAGAAUGAGCAUAUUAAUGGCUUAAAAAAAACCCCAUUUUGGGCAUUGUUUGAUGCAAUAUUGAAAAACAAGAUGAAUUGUAAACAAUACAGAAAAUAUGAUGACAUUGCAUUCAAAAUAAUUCAAACUUACUAGCCAGGCAGCAGUGGUUAUUUCCAGUUAAGACCAGAAACUGUAAAUCCAACAACAGAAGACAUCAAGUCCAUCUUCGGUAUAUCUUGUGGAGAUGAGCCGAUACAUCUUGGUUAUGGAAAUAAAAGCAGAUCAUCAUUUCUGACAAGAAGAUGCAUACAAACUGAAAGGCUAUCGAGCACAACCAUCACCAACUUGUUGCAAAAAGCAUUGAAAGGAAAGAAGAAAGAAGACAAUGAAGAUGUGAUAAUGAUGUUGUUAUUGGUUAUGUGAGCACACACCGAUCAUCCACCCUGAAGUUAGCAAAGCAUGCCCAAGGGUGAUCAAGUGGAAUCUUGCCAAAUUACAUAAACGUAUGAAAGUCAUAUCACUACAUCAGCUGACAACAAGACAGGUAACUAGUGCUCAAUUGAAUGAGGAAAGUGAUGAAGAAUUUGAUGACACUGAAGAAGAAGAAAAAGAAGAUGCUGAAAAUGAAGAACAAGAAAAUGUUGAAGAAGAAGUACAAGAACAAGAACAACAAAAACAAGAUGCUGAA